rnacentral:rRNA from 1 species
AACCCUUGUCCUUAGUUACCAGCACGUUAUGUGGGCACUCUAAGGAGACUGCCGGUGACAAACCGGAGGAAGUGGGGAUGACGUCAAGUCAUCAUGGCCCUUACGGCCUGGGCUACACACGUGCUACAAUGGUCGGUACAAAGGGUUGCCAAGCCGCGAGGUGGAGCUAAUCCCAUAAAACCGAUCGUAGUCCGGAUCGCAGUCUGCAACUCGACUGCGUGAAGUCGGAAUCGCUAGUAAUCGUGAAUCAGAAUGUCACGGUGAAUACGUUCCCGGGCCUU